UUCCGGUUGAUCCUGCCGGACCCGACUGCUAUUUGGGUGAGGAUAAGCCAUGCGAGUCGAAUGGGAUACCUAAAUUUCCCAUGGCGAACUGCUCAGUAACACAUGAUCAACUUAACCUAUUGAGAAAGAUAACCUCGGGAAACUGAGGAUAAUAUUUCAUAGUUGAAUUGGCUUGGAAAAGUUUUUCAACAAAAGGGAUAGGGAAAAUGGUCUCUAUCCGCUGUAGGAUAGGAUCGUGUUCGAUUAUGGUAGUUGGUGAGGUAACGGCUCACCAAGCCGAUAGUCGAUAGGGGCCGUGAGAGCGGGAGCCCCGAGAUGGGUACUGAGACAACGACCCAGGCCUUACGAGGCGCAGCAGGUACGAAACCUCCACAAUACACGAAAGUGUGAUGGGGUUACCCAAAGUGUUCGUUAUUGAACUGUGGUAGGAGAGUAAUGUCCCCUACUAGAAAGGAGAGGGCAAGGCUGGUGCCAGCCGCCGCGGUAAAACCAGCUCUUCAAGUGGUCGGGAUAAUUAUUGGGCUUAAAGUGUCCGUAGCCGGUUUAGUAAGUUCCUGGUAAAAUCGGGUAGCUUAACUAUCUGUAUGCUAGGAAUACUGCUAUACUAGAGGGCGGGAGAGGUCUGAGGUACUACAGGGGUAGGGGUGAAAUCUUAUAAUCCUUGUAGGACCACCAGUGGCGAAGGCGUCAGACUGGAACGCGCCUGACGGUGAGGGACGAAAGCCAGGGGAGCGAACCGGAUUAGAUACCCGGGUAGUCCUGGCCGUAAACGAUGCAUACUAGGUGAUGGUAUGGCUAUGAGCCAUAUCAGUGCCGUAGGGAAACCGUUAAGUGUGCCGCCUGGGAAGUACGGUCGCAAGGCUAAAACUUAAAGGAAUUGGCGGGGGAGCACUACAAGGGGUGAAGCCUGCGGUUCAAUU
rnacentral:rRNA from 1 species